rnacentral:rRNA from 1 species
AAAUUCUCAACCUUUUCAGCUUUUGUUGAAUAGGCUUGGAUUUUGGGAGUUGUUGCAGGCUGCUCAGAAGUCUGCUCUCCUUAAAUGUAUUAGCGGGGCCCUUGUUGUCUAGCAUUUGGUGUGAUAAUUAUCUACGCCAUUGUGAACAAUGURAUAGGGAGUUCRGCUUCUAAUCGUCUCGUAAAGAGACAAUCUCUGAC